UGCAAGUCGAGCGGCAACGACAACAUUGAUUCUUCGGAGGAUUUGUUGGGCGGCGAGCGGCGGACGGGUGAGUAAUGGCUGGGAACCUGCCCUGACGUGGGGGAUAACAGUUGGAAACGACUGCUAAUACCGCAUGAUGUCUUCGGACCAAAGAGGAGGACCUUCGGGCUUCUCGCGUCGGGAUGGGCCCAGUUGGGAUUAGCUAGUUGGUGAGGUAAUGGCUCACCAAGGCGACGAUCCCUAGCUGGUUUGAGAGGAUGAUCAGCCACACUGGAACUGAGACACGGUCCAGACUCCUACGGGAGGCAGCAGUGGGGAAUAUUGCACAAUGGGCGCAAGCCUGAUGCAGCCAUGCCGCGUGUGUGAAGAAGGCCUUCGGGUUGUAAAGCACUUUCAGCAGUGAGGAAGGCGUAGUGGUUAAUACCCGCUGCGCUUGACGUUAGCUGCAGAAGAAGCACCGGCUAACUCCGUGCCAGCAGCCGCGGUAAUACGGAGGGUGCGAGCGUUAAUCGGAAUUACUGGGCGUAAAGCGUAUGCAGGCGGUUUGUUAAGCAAGAUGUGAAAGCCCCGGGCUCAACCUGGGAACCGCAUUUUGAACUGGCAGGCUAGAGUCUUGUAGAGGGGGGUAGAAUUUCAGGUGUAGCGGUGA
rnacentral:rRNA from 1 species